rnacentral:sRNA from 22 species
ACCUACCCGGGGCGCUUGCCGCAUCCGGGUGAAAGACAGAUACGUGCCUGGGGAAGAAAUGGGCACAUCAGGGCGUU